CGGAGGGCGCGGGAGGCCCCGUUGCGUGCGGCGGGAGCGGCGCGUUCCGGUCUAGUCCGGUUCGGCGCGGAUCGGCGGUUCCGCGGGGAGAGCCGCGGCGCCGCUUGUAGCUGGCGGAGCUUAAAAGAAGCCUGGGGAAGGAGGGAGCUGCUGCUGCUGCAGCCCGCGGGAAGAGCUGGUGCCCGGGGCGCCUGUGGCUUCAUUAGCGUUUAGCUACAGGUUCUUCGCAGUUGUGAUUUUUCUUUCUUUUUUGUAGAUUUACAUACCAACCACUACUGAAGAUGAAUGAAUUUGAAUUCAAAUACCAAGGUGUUCCAUCAACAAAGCUGCACUUCCCUGAGGAAAUCACCACAUCCCAGUGGUGUGCUGCUGUCUCGAGGGUUUUGAAGCCCAAAUUGCUGGCCUGGUAGGAAUAUUUCUAGUGAAGAUACGUAGGUGCAAAUCUUGUCUGUUUACAAGCAGCAUCAAAAAGUAAGAUCAGGAUCCAUCUGAUUAACAUGUAUGAUAUAUACAGCAUAUCAAGUUUCAGACUAUCCUGAAAUGAGGCCAGACCAAGAUGAAAAUGAGAUAUAUUGUAUAGUUAGUGAAGUUAAUCAAGAAAAUAAAGAAAAUCUUGCAAAGAUGUCCUCCUUGUUGCCCUUGUGUUGGAUGCUUCAAAAUGAGUUCUCACUAUUUUAAUGUGAGCCUGGGGAGUUGGUGAUGAUUCUCAUGCCUAUUGCUUCUCUGAAGUGAACACCUUGUUUGGAGAAGAAAAAGGUCAUUUUCAGAUCGAGGUGCACUGUUCUGCACUGUCUAAUUCUCUUCCAUGUUCCAUGGGCUCAGUGAUUCUAAAAAGAGCAAAGAGGAAGAAACCUAGCUUCGGCAUCUGUCUCUUGGCCUGUGUUGCAUUUCCAGUAUUAAAACUUGGACCUUAGUUGGGAAGGUAAAAACCUCUAAUGCUGAAGUGAGACAUGACAUUUAUAAAAAUGGGAAGAAGACUAGACUUGACAAUAAACGAUUAUCUCAUUCUUUGAAAGAUACUUACAUUUUAAAGCCAGAUUCUGAGAGAACGCAGCUUUCUGCAACAUAUGCAACUUAGCCCUGAUUCAGAAGAUAAAAGAUGUUCAUAAAGUCCAUGAAAAGUGUCAUGAUGUGGACUGUGUUUUUAAUGUAUUUAUUGUAGUUGUCACAUGACUGAAUGGGACUUAAUGGGAAAUCAGUUAAAAACACAUAAGCAGGUAAAAGGAAUCUUCUAGUGCCUGAUCUGUGAAAGUGUUUUUCAUGUCACACAGUGCCUGGAAAAUGCACAAAAACAGUCAUCAGUGAAGACCCCAUGUCUUUUGGUGCACAGAAUGUUCAUCAUUUGAAAGUCCUGGGACAUGUAGACCCUCUUGCGUCGCUGGCUGCAACUCCAUCAUGACAUCCCAACAUGUACUGUGUAAAUGAUGCUGCAUUGCCCACUGAACCCUGCUGGAGCAUGGAGCUGGGUGCACUGAAUGGAAGGUCAAGUGUUUGUUUACUCAUAAUGCUGUCUUGAGUAUCCUAUCUCAAAAAAAGCAUAAGAUACUUAAAAAUAUUAUUUUAUCUAUGAAUAGUCAUAAAAUUGGCAGCUUCUUCUCCCCUCUUUCCCCUGCCACUGUAUAGGCUUCAUAAUCCAGCAGUAUUUGUAAUAUGGUUGUUUGCUGUUCCAUCAUAUUAAAAAGAAUUGGCAAUAUAACUAAGGCUGGAUGAUAGUGGGUGAAGAAAAAUCACUUUUUCCUCCUUUAAACAGCAAUGUACUGAAAUGUCUUUCAUUACUAAGCCCUGGGGUGUGUUGAGACCUACUGCUGAAGAUGAUGGGUUUUUACAACUUGCUUUUUGGAGUUGAUACAACUGUUUUGGGGUUGAUCAAUUUAUACAACAACUAUCAUCACUCUUCCCAACAGUAGGCAAACAAGAGAAUUUUUGGUACUUUGUUGCUGAAAUAUCUGGCUCAUCCGAAACCAAUAAAACACAAACUAUAUCAAGUGCCAACUUAUAUUUUCCAUGGAUGAAAGUAUUCUUUGUCAGAGAUGCAAUGCUUCUUUCCUUAAGUGACAUGAGUGCAUAAGCUUCCCUUUCCUCUGAAACCAGUUCUGACUAUCUUCUCAGUCACGUAACAGGCAUAUUUCUUAAAAAAUGUGCUGUGUGUUUGAAUGUAUAUGCAGCACACUUUUAAGUUCAUAUUUUGGAUUGUAGAUGGCUGUCAUUUCAUUUGAUCUUGGUGUUAGUCUUUACAAUGUAAUUAGUAUUUUGUGUUACUCUGACAACAGUAUAAAAAUAAUAUUUGGAUAUUCUGAACUCAAUAAACUGAUCAGAAUAAAUUAAUUCCAUACAAAAUAAACAGUUAUAUUAUGUAAAUAUGUUGCUUGUUCUUUUUCUACGUAUAUGAUGUCCUUUGGAAAUCAAAUUGAGGUAAGUUAGAAAAGACUUAAUAAAAAUGUGUAUUGUUAGUUGAGGCUUUUGUAUGAUGGUAAAAAUGCUUAAUUCUGGUAAAUUCAAUGGAUUCAGGUCAAAUCCUGAAAUCCUGAAAAACAUGUUUUUCCUUCUGGCUUUGUCAUGUUUAAAACCCGGGGAUAUUUAUUGUGAUCCUAAGUCUGCCUUCCACUGUAGUGACUUUCCAAAUGUUAUUUAUAUCAUUGUCAGUUGUGCUCGUUUCAUUUCCUUUUCUCUUUGUGCUGAGUAAAAACUGUGGCAAUUUUACAAUGAAAGUGUACAUCCAAGAACGGUGAUCUGUACUUCCAGUGUGUGUCUGUGAAUGGCAAGUAAACUUUGCUGUUAAAUCAUCUACUUCUUCAUUGUAUUUACAAUAUGUGCAAAAGUACAAUAGAGCAGUUAUAUCCUCAGCAUUACCUAUACUUAACAACUUAGCUCUAAUUCUGUUCUAUACUUUUAAUAAAAAAAUCAAA